GAGUUUUUAAAGGAAAAAUCCACCGGUCCAGUGACCAAGGAGUGGGUGGAUGGUUGCCUGGCCCCCACAUGAGGAGGUGGACAAAACAUCAGACAUAAUGGACAAGGUUAUCAAAAAAUGGAGAGAUUCGUGUGAGGCAUCGGACUUAAAUUCAGAUGUGGAGGGAGAGAAGAAGACUAGCCAUCUCAAGACAGGCGAGCAAGGUCCACACCCAGGGCAACCUACCAGGUUUCAGCAUCUUCCUCGAGAUCCAGGGUCUGGCCAACAGGGUGGUUAGUUCCUGCUCAAUGCAUACGUACGUUUUUAACGGGACAGCAAGAUUCCUAGAAUAUUUCUGUAUAAUCAUAAUAAUAUUAAUUUGUCUUACCAUUCUCUUACUGCUUUUAUAUCAAACAGUUAUUGAAAAAGCUGUAUUGGAAGCCCUGAGUGAGGUGCAGCUCCAGCACCAAACAGCCAUGGUACAAACCCUACAGGCAGGAAGUGAAAGGAGGCUGCAGUUCCCACCUGAGGAGGAGGAUAUCGAUGUUCAGCUUCCUCUCCAGUCACUUGAAGAAUCACAUGACUUACUUGAUGAGAAGCUGAAAAACACCUCCACAAAAAAAACAAACUGGUGAUGAAUCCAAUAUGUAUAGAGAGCAACAACCUAUUUCAUAGCCUUUCUCCUUAGUAUAUCACUUCCUCUAUACUGCAUUAAUUAACACUUUGUAUUUUUACAAAGUAUUUUUAAUUUGAACAUUACCUGCAGUGUUUCUUCUGAAACCAAGAAAUUAUAAUAGAUUGGCAUGGACGACUGAGAGGAUUUUUAUCUUGUUCAUAGAGUAGUUGACCAGCUAAAAUAUCUUUUCUUUUCUUUUCUUUUUUUUCUUCCACAACUUUGGUCUUAUUUCUGUUUUUUUUGCUUCCUACCUAAUCGGUCAUGACAACACUGUUCUCAUCUGCUUCACUGAAGAGACACAGGGUUAUGAGUAAAGAGCUUUAAAGUGGUGAAGCGGGGCAAAGAUCAAAAACCUCAGACAAGUCUAAAGCCCCUAAAAGGACUUUCUGAAUCUUGACUGAGUUUAGCAGUUAUUGCAAACAUUAGUGAUAACAUUUCUCAGAUGGAUGACUGCAUUUGUUUUGGAGAGAAGACAGUUGUUGACAAGAUUUGUAGCAAUUUUUAGAGGGCUACAUGCUACAGGCUAUUGAUUGAUUGACAAUUUUAUUGCCCUUAACGGGAAUUAAUUCUGUACCAUACAGCAGUCUGUAGAUAAAUAACACCCAUCACCAAAACAACAACAACAACAGCAGCAGCAUAUUGAUGAAUUCCCAACACAGCCUACAACAAGUGCAACGUCUACCAAGUACCACACAAUAACAGCAGCAAGUUCACGUGUUUGCUAAAUAAACAGUGGAAAAAAUCCUCACAGGAGCUUUAAAUCAGUCCACCGUAACCCAAUCAUCUUAACCAUAGAUUUGGAAGUCAAAGCACCGGGUAAGUGAUUACCUCAGAUUUAUCUCUACAAUUAAGUUGGUCUAUUAAAUUUUAUCAUAAGCCAAAAGAAUGAUGUCAAACCCACAGAAAUAACACCUAGGUUUUAAAGAACUCGAUUUUUUCUUUUAUCUCAACACUUCCAAUGGUGUCCUCUGAGCUAACCUUGUAAUAUACUCCUCUAAAGCUGUAGAUAGUGGUCUACCAUGUAUGCUCUCUAUCUAUACUCCUCAUUCUAGCCUACAAAGUCUAUACUUGGUCAGUCUCAGUCACAACUUACCAUUUAUCUGUAGGGCUCUACUGCAAAUCCACUCUGAAAGAGAAAAAAAUAUCAAUAAUUGGAUAUAUAAGAAUGAGCUUUUGUGCGCUUUUUCAUUGGUCAUCACAUGCUUCUGUAAUUAUGUAUGAUUUAUGUGAGAUUAACAAAUUCAUACACACACAUAAAACAACAAUAACAAAAAUGAUUUUUCAUUAAAAUAUGUAUUGGACAAUUGGAAUUGAGGGAAGGGCAGCGCCCCAGUGCCCUUAAUGGACCACACACCCCUGCCUGUAAAUUAACUGUGAGAUAAUGGUCUCCAGUCCAUCAAAUGGAAGGAAGUCAAUAAGCGGAAAUAGCUUCUAGUUUGUAUAAUUACAGUGGUGCUGCUUUAAACAAAGAUUAAAAAGAAUACUAACAUCAUUCUGAAACUGCUGAUCUGUAGGUUGUUGAUGUAUGACACUGCAGCUAAAAUUUACCUAAAAACCAUUAUAUUCACAGCAUCAGCAGUGCGUAGCGAGACCCUGACAAGGUGUUUCAGCAGUGGCUUCGUCUGACAAGUGACAGAUUGCACCCGAGGAGGCCUUAAUUUCUUUGUUUACUGUUGAUGAUUUAGACCUGUUGGACGCUUUAAAAAGAAAUAAAAUAAAUAAAGAAAAUUA